rnacentral:rRNA from 1 species
GUCGGCGUGCUUAACACAUGCAAGUCGAACGGAAAGGCCCUGCUUUUGUGGGGUGCUCGAGUGGCGAACGGGUGAGUAACACGUGAGUAACCUGCCCUUGACUUUGGGAUAACUUCAGGAAACUGGGGCUAAUACCGGAUAGGAGCUCCUGCUGCAUGGUGGGGGUUGGAAAGUUUCGGCGGUUGGGGAUGGACUCGCGGCUUAUCAGCUUGUUGGUGGGGUAGUGGCUUACCAAGGCUUUGACGGGUAGCCGGCCUGAGAGGGUGACCGGCCACAUUGGGACUGAGAUACGGCCCAGACUCCUACGGGAGGCAGCAGUGGGGAAUAUUGCACAAUGGGCGGAAGCCUGAUGCAGCAACGCCGCGUGCGGGAUGACGGCCUUCGGGUUGUAAACCGCUUUCGCCUGUGACGAAGCGUGAGUGACGGUAAUGGGUAAAGAAGCACCGGCUAACUACGUGCCAGCAGCCGCGGUGAUACGUAGGGUGCGAGCGUUGUCCGGAUUUAUUGGGCGUAAAGGGCUCGUAGGUGGUUGAUCGCGUCGGAAGUGUAAUCUUGGGGCUUAACCCUGAGCGUGCUUUCGAUACGGGUUGACUUGAGGAAGGUAGGGGAGAAUGGAAUUCCUGGUGGAGCGGUGGAAUGCGCAGAUAUCAGGAGGAACACCAGUGGCGAAGGCGGUUCUCUGGGCCUUUCCUGACGCUGAGGAGCGAAAGCGUGGGGAGCGAACAGGCUUAGAUACCCUGGUAGUCCACGCUGUAAACGGUGGGUACUAGGUGUGGGGUCCAUUCCACGGGUUCCGUGCCGUAGCUAACGCUUUAAGUACCCCGCCUGGGGAGUACGGCCGCAAGGCUAAAACUCAAAGGAAUUGACGGGGCCCCGCACAAGCGGCGGAGCAUGCGGAUUAAUUCGAUGCAACGCGUAGAACCUUACCUGGGUUUGACAUGGAUCGGGAGUGCUCAGAGAUGGGUGUGCCUCUUUUGGGGUCGGUUCACAGGUGGUGCAUGGCUGUCGUCAGCUCGUGUCGUGAGAUGUUGGGUUAAGUCCCGCAACGAGCGCAACCCUUGUUCACUGUUGCCAGCACGUUAUGGUGGGGACUCAGUGGAGACCGCCGGGGUCAACUCGGAGGAAGGUGGGGAUGACGUCAAGUCAUCAUGCCCCUUAUGUCCAGGGCUUCACGCAUGCUACAAUGGCUGGUACAGAGAGUGGCGAGCCUGUGAGGGUGAGCGAAUCUCGGAAAGCCGGUCUCAGUUCGGAUUGGGGUCUGCAACUCGACCUCAUGAAGUCGGAGUCGCUAGUAAUCGCAGAUCAGCAACGCUGCGGUGAAUACGUUCCCGGGGCUUGUACACACCGCCCGUCAAGUCAUGAAAGUUGGUAACACCCGAAGCCGGUGGCCUAACCGAAGUGGGGGAGCCGUCGAAGGUGGGACUGGUGAUUA